rnacentral:rRNA from 1 species
GAUGAACGCUGGCGGCGUGCUUAACACAUGCAAGUCGAACGGAAAGGCCUCAGCUUGCUGGGGUACUCGUGAGGCGAACGGGUGAGUAACACGUGGGUGAUCUGCACUGCACUCUGGGAUAAGCUAGGGAAACUGGGUCUAAUACUGAAUAUGACCACUUCUCGGAUGAAGUGGCGGAAUGCUAUCGCGGUGUGGGUUGAGCCUGCGGCCUAUCAGCUUGUUGGUGGGUUAAUGGCCUACCAAGGCGGCGACGGGUAUCCGGCCUGUGAGGAUGUACGGACACAUUGGGACUGAGAUACGGCCCAGACUCCUACAGGAGGCAGCAGUGGGGAAUAUUGCACAAUGGGCGCAAGCCUGAUGCAGCGACGCCGCGUGGGGGAUGAAGGCCUUCGGGUUGUAAACUCCUUUCGCUAUCGACGAAGCCACUUGUGGUGACGGUAGGUAGAUAAGAAGCACCGGCUAACUACGUGCCAGCCGCCGCAGUAA